UAAUAAAUUACUUUGGUUUCCAAAAAAAAAAAAAGUAGACAAGUACCAUGUUAAAUACAGAUUCCGAAGAUAUAUGAAUAUCUGAGCUGCCAAAGUGCACCCAAUGGAUGAAUUCUGGAAAGACAUCACUCUCUCUCCUUCCCACCAUCCCAUCUCCGCCGCUGCCGUCGCCGCCGUCUCUGCCUCCGGCGAUGACGUUUCUCCCACCACCAUCCUCCAGGAGUUUCUGGCUCUCCCCACCGACGGCGGCGGCCGGCCUCCCCACGGUUGUACUACCUCCGGUCACCGGAAUGGCCCUCCUCCGGCGACCGCCUUGUCCUUGAAUACUCACCACCACCCGGACCCCAUCACUCCGCCGCCGCAUCACUUCCACACCAGAAAACGGCCGCCGGAAACCGAUGACGGCGACGACCUGCGCCACCACGAACGCCUGAUCAAGUGCCGAGAAUCCGCCGCCCGGUGCCGUGCCAGAAAACGGGCUUACACAAAUCAACUGGAGAUGAAAAUAGCGCAUCUGAAACGCGAAAACGAUAAGCUAAGAAGGCAGAAGGAGAAGCUAAGUAUGGAGGUGUCUGCUAUGCCAUCCAAAAAGAAGAAUAAACUCUACAGAACUUUGACUGCACCAUUUUAAGAAGAGCUCAGAGUCUUAGGAUUUGAGCCAUUUUUGGGUGGUUAUUUUGAAUUCGUCCAACUAUAUUUUAGACUCCAUUAACACAUAUGUCAUCGGGAGUUAUGAGAAGGAAUAUAAUCAAACUCCUCUCUGUCGGUAAAAGCAAGUGUUAUGUGAAAAUCCUGAUAUACCAAACGAAUGUGGUGGGGCGACCUUUAUUAUGUUUUUUUUGUAUGACAAAUUUGGGACAUGCUUGCUCAAUUAUUACUCAUCUUUUUGUUUUUCCUCCCCCAAUUUGGAGUAAUGGUUGAAUUUAUAAUCAUAAAAACAAAAUUAAGAUAGCGAUUGGUGCGAGUAAUUAAUAAUACCUCAUGUAAUCACUUCGCAACUCAUAGUAUCAAGUUUAAUUAAUAUGUGUGUUGUUCAAUA